UACGAGGGGUGCAAGCGUUGCUCGGAAUUAUUGGGCGUAAAGGGUAGGUAGGUGGUCUCAUUUGUCUGUGGUGAAAGCCUUGGGCUUAACUCAAGAAGUGCCGCAGAAACGGUGAGACUGGAGUCCUGGAGAGGGUCGUGGAAUUCCCGGUGUAGCGGUGAAAUGCGCAGAUAUCGGGAAGAACACCCGUGGCGAAGGCGGCUCUCUGGGACGGUACUGACGCUGAGACGCGAAAGCGUGGGGAGCGAACAGG
rnacentral:rRNA from 1 species